rnacentral:pre_miRNA from 1 species
AGUCUUUAAUGAUGGUAUUUAAUUGAAAUUGAAUAAUUUAAUACUGUUAUUUAAGAUUUC